rnacentral:rRNA from 1 species
AGUGAACGCUGGCGGCGUGCUUAACACAUGCAAGUCGAACGAGAACGGAUUAUAGCUUGCUAUAAUUGUCAGCUAAGUGGCGCACGGGUGAGUAAUGUAUAGGUAAUAUGCCUCUUACUAAGGGAUAACAAAUGGAAACGUUUGCUAAUACCUUAUACUCCUUAUUAACAGAAGUUAAUAGGGGAAAGAUUUAUUGGUAAGAGAUUAGCCUGUAUUGUAUCAGUUAGUUGGUGGGGUAAUGGCUUACCAAGACUAUGACACAUAACUGGUUUGAGAGGAUGGUCAGUCACACUGGAACUGAGACACGGUCCAGACUCCUACGGGAGGCAGCAGUGGGGAAUAUUGCACAAUGGACGAAAGUCUGAUGCAGCAACGCCGCGUGGAGGAUGACACAUUUCGGUGCGUAAACUCCUUUUAUAUGAGAAGAUAAUGACGGUAUUAUAUGAAUAAGCACCGGCUAACUCCGUGCCAGCCGCCGCGGUAA